GCACUGGUAGCUUAGCCUGGUAGAGCACCCGACUGAUAAUCGGGAGGUCGGAGGUUCAAAUCCUCCCCGGUGCA
rnacentral:tRNA from 1 species